AGGACUUUAAGUUAAAUAAAAAAAACUUUUAGCCUUCAAAGCUUAACAUGAAUAAUCAAGUCUUG
rnacentral:tRNA from 1 species